UACGUAGGUGGCAAGCGAUUCUCGGAAUCACUAGGCGUAAAGCGCAGGUAGGCGGUUGGGUAAGUCUUUUGUGAAAGCUCCUGGCUUAACUGGGAGAGGUCAAAGGAAACUACUCGGCUAGAGUUUGGUAGGGGAUACUGGAAUUCCUGGUGUAGCGGUGAAAUGCGUAGAUAUCAGGAGGAAUACCUAUGGCGAAAGCAGGUAUCUGGGCCACAACUGACGCUGAGCUGCGAAAGCUAGGGGAGCAAACAGG
rnacentral:rRNA from 1 species